UAUGUAUCCCUUAGUCCGAAAAAGCUUGUCCCAAACUUGUCUCUCAAAUGGAUGUAUCUAGCACUAACUUCAUGCUAGAUACAUCCAUUUGAGGGACAAUUUUUUCGGACGGAGGGAGUACUAU
rfam:Triticum aestivum genome assembly, contig: Triticum_aestivum_CS42_TGACv1_scaffold_032621_1BL